rnacentral:miRNA from 12 species
GAGCUGGGCUGAGCUGGGCUGAACUGGGCUGGUCUGAGCUGAGCUGGGCUGAGCUGAACUGAACUGGGCUGAGCUGGGCUGAG